UAUAUCCUCAAUUCUUGUCUAGGAACACGGUUGCGUUGAAAACGCGUGAGCGAUGUUCACUUAUCACUAAGCGGCACUAUAACUGCGUUUUGAAGGGGGCAGGUGCUCGAGAAUCCUUAGAGGAUAAACCAUGCUUUUAUCUUUAUCUUUUGUCUUAUCUUUGCCGCACGUUCACGUAGUAGUUUCCCUGUCUUUCCCGCGUUUCCUUGACGCACGAGAGACUGGGAACGAAAGAGAAACUCAACAUGGCUGCGAAAACUUCGAGCUGGUUUAAAUCUUAUUUUUUCGCCAAAUAAUCGAUGAAGAGACUACCUUUGGUAUUUUUAGCCUUUCGAAACGUAUUUUCUGUUGUGUAUUUGUACCUCAAUUCAAGAAUUAUGCCUUCAGCAGGCUGCAAAACACACAAAAUGGGGACCUUGUUGACUGACCUUCGCAAAUGAAUAACAGCCUGGUAGGAAGCUGACGUGCUAAACUGCUAGGUCAGCAAUGAACAAGAAUGGACAGACAGUGGAAAAACCAAGAUGGGACACUAGAUACACUUAGAUGGACAUGGACAGUGGACAAACAUGAAUACACAGUGGACAAUUUUGGACACAUGGUGGAAAACUGGACGAGCAUGAGUGGACAACUCCAGCAAGACAGUGGAAACCAAAAACAUUCAGACCUUGAGCAACUGGGAUGUUGGACCAGACAGAAAGCAUCAGAAGACAGCACAGYCUCAGAGGCCAGGAAAAAGACAAGUGUGCAGGCUGAGAAGAGGAUGCUUAAAGAGUCAAGCCACCUAGUAGACAAAUUGACAAGAUGGCUUAUGGUACCAUAAGUACUUUAUUUAAUCAGAAUAAGUUGGCCCUGCCCGGGAGGCCUUUGAACGUGGGGUACAGCUGGCCCGGGGUUUUCCUCCCAGGAGCAAGUGGACGUACAGGGAGGUUUUUCACCCAGCUGUUGUUCCACAACCCCCGUUCAGGUUAGCUGGUUAUUUCUUUAGCUUGACAUAGUCUUCAACAAGGUUCUUGUAGUAGAUUCUUUGUAAACUGCUUGCAUUGGUUUGGAGCAAGUAAAACUGUGUAAACACCUUUCAUACAGACACUAACUUAGUAGAACAAACACCUUUUGACUGAUGCCAACAACAAGUGACUUUUUCAUGACCUUAGCAGAUCAAUCAACAACCUUUCACUUCAAACAGACCCAGCAUAAACUUGACUAACAAUAGAUGGAGUGAAACAGAGAACAUCUGACACCAGCAUCUAAGUUUUACUACCUGCAACACCUUACAAAUGACUUAUUCAUGACCUAAAUAAACCUACCAACAAACUUUAACUUCAAACAGAACCGACACAAACUUGACUUACAAUAGAUGAAGUGACACUUCACAACAUCUAACACUGACAACUUUGCACCUUACAGAUGGCCUUAUUUAUGACCUAAACAAAUCAACCAACAAACUUUAACUUCAAACAGAACUAGCACAGACUUGACUAACAACAGGUGGAUUGAAACUGACAACAGUUAUCUGACAUCAACAAUUACACACUUAUACUGUACCUUAUAAAUUUAUUACUUAUUCAUGGCCUAGACAAACCAACCAAAAAACUGUACAUUAUUUUGUUACUUCAAACAUAACCAGCACAAACUGUAACAAUAUCUGACACAAACAACUACUUACACCUUACAAAUGACUUUUUCAUGACCUCAACAAGCCAACCAACAAACAUUAAACUUCAAACAGAACCAGCACAAACUUGACAAACAAUGGAUGGAUUGAAACUGACAACAUCUGACAUCAACUACUUGCAUGUUUACAACCGAGUUAUUCUUGACCUGGACAAA